GAUGAACGCUAGCUGGAGGCUUAAUACAUGCAAGUCGAGCGGGAUUGGUAGCAAUACCAUGAGAGCGGCGCACGGGUGAGUAACGCGUACACGACCUACCUCUAACAGGGGGAUAGCCCUGGGAAACUGGGAUUAAUACCGCAUAUAAUUCUGAUUUUAAAAGGUUGGAAUGAAAGUUCAGGCGGUUAGAGAUGGGUGUG
rnacentral:rRNA from 1 species